GAAAGGGAGAAGAUAAUGACAGACAGAAUGACAAAGAAAAGGAAGAUGGCGAAGAUGGUUAAAAAAUGAGCAAGGCGUAGCAAAAGUGUUAAUUAAUUUUUAAUUAUUAUUUUAACAGAAGAUUUUGGAACAGUAGCAACAAAAAAAAAUUCAGUUCACGUUAUGGGGAUAGAAGACGAGAAAUCGCGAGAUGUUAUCGAAGAAAAGACAUCAACGCGCACCGUCGACAGCUUUUGACUAAUAAGCACAGUCUCGCCCGUUGCUAUUAGUCUUCCGAGAUGCCGAAAACGAAAAAAAAAAUUAACAAAACGAAAAACAAAACUGUUUCGGCAUGAGAUUAAUUAAAUUUAACGUUCUGAUGAUAUCAUAUGUUAA